GUCUAUGGCCAUGCCACCCUGAACACGCUCAGUCUCCUCAGACCUCUGAAGCUAAGUGGGGUUUGGCCUGGAUUGUACUUGGAUGGGAGAAAAUCAGAGACAAAGAGG
rnacentral:rRNA from 1 species